rnacentral:rRNA from 1 species
UACGAGGGGGGCAAGCGUUGUUCGGAAUUAUUGGGCGUAAAGGGUGCGUAGGCGGUUUGGUAAGUCUUAUGUGAAAUCUACAGGCUCAACUUGUAGUCUGCAUGAGAAACUGCCGGGCUUGAGUAUGGGAGAGGUGAGUGGAAUUCCUGGUGUAGCGGUGAAAUGCGUAGAUAUCAGGAGGAACACCUGUGGCGAAAGCGGCUCACUGGACCAUAACUGACGCUGAUGCACGAAAGCGAGGGGAGCAAACAGG